rnacentral:rRNA from 1 species
UACGUAGGGGGCAAGCGUUGUCCGGAAUUAUUGGGCGUAAAGAGCUCGUAGGCGGUUUGUUGCGUCGGCUGUGAAAUCCCGAGGCUCAACCUCGGGUCUGCAGUCGAUACGAGCAAACUAGAGUGUUGCAGGGGAGACUGGAAUUCCUGGUGUAGCGGUGAAAUGCGCAGAUAUCAGGAGGAACACCGGUGGCGAAGGCGGGUCUCUGGGCCGAUACUGACGCUGCGGAGCGAAAGCGUGGGGAGCGAACAGG